rnacentral:rRNA from 1 species
GACAGAGGGUGCAAACGUUGUUCGGAAUUACUGGGCGUAAAGCGCGUGUAGGCAGCCCCGCAAGUCGGAUGUGAAAGCCCUGGGCUCAACCUAGGAAGUGCAUUCGAUACUGCGAGGCUUGAGUCCUGGAGAGGAAGGCGGAAUUCUCGGUGUAGAGGUGAAAUUCGUAGAUAUCGAGAGGAACACCGGUGGCGAAGGCGGCCUUCUGGACAGUGACUGACGCUGAGACGCGAAAGCGUGGGGAGCAAACAAG